rnacentral:lncRNA from 7 species
AGAGGCAAAUGGGGAAGCCAAAGGGGCAGAACAGACAGUGGGCUGCAGGGCAGAACGAGAGCCAGGGGAGGAGAAAGGGAAUGAACCAAAGUGCAGAGAAGUGAUGGCUUUGAGGGCUUCCAAGGACCAUCAUCAGGGAGAAAAUAAAGAAGUUUUCUCGUGGCAGUGAGGUGUUCUACAGUGAAAAAGAGCUGGGAACCUAGCCUGGAUUUUUCUACCCUAAGGAAGACACAAAACCUCCUGAACCUCCAACCUUGAAGCCUUCCCCCUGCCCCAGCCCGGCUCACAACGCUGCUGCUGUAUGCCCAUGAGGGUUGCCUUCCUUCAGCCCACUCCAGCUAACCAGGGACCCCCUGAUGGACUUUCCAGCUCAGGUUGAUGAGUCGCACCAGGAUAAUUACACCCACACAACAAGCCAACGCUUCGCUUGUGAGCGAUGCCCUGGGACAGGCACGGUGUUCUGCCAUUAAGCUUAAACCUUUGCCAAAAUGACAUGAGAUCACCUGACAGUGUUUUUCAGAACUGGAAACAGGAAUUUCUGCACAGAAUUAUCAAUCUGUCUCUUCCCAUGACAAAAAAUCCCUUAUCCCCAUGCAGCUCUGUUACAGUGCUGACAUCAGGUGAGCUCUUCGAAGGAAAAGUGCACGGCAAAGAGUAUUUCCCAGUGACAGAAUAAAGAACGUGGAUCUAAAUGAUCUGUUGGGUGAUUCCUUUUAGGACAUCCAGUGUAGCCAUGAAGGGCUGAGGGGAAGGUUCUGGAAUUGCAUUUUAGAGUAUUUUGAUUUUUUGUUAUUUGACUCCAGAAAAAGUAGCCCCAGGUUUUCUGACUGUGAUAAGCGUGGGAUUAGAUGACGUUCUGCUCCUACCGAAGUUAUGGCUGCAGUGUAGGCCUUGUUCAACUCGGUGGAGAAUUAAUGGAAUAAAAAUAAAACAUUUUAUUUCAGCU